rnacentral:rRNA from 1 species
GUGCCAGCAGCCGCGGUAAUACGAAGGGGGCUAGCGUUGCUCGGAAUUACUGGGCGUAAAGCGCACGUAGGCGGAUCAUUAAGUCGGGGGUGAAAUCCUGGAGCUCAACUCCAGAACUGCCCUCGAUACUGGCGAUCUUGAGUCCGGGAGAGGUGAGUGGAACUCCGAGUGUAGAGGUGAAAUUCGUAGAUAUUCGGAAGAACACCAGUGGCGAAGGCGGCUCACUGGCCCGGUACUGACGCUGAGGUGCGAAAGCGUGGGGAGCAAACAGGAUUAGAAACCCCCGUAGUCC